UACAGUAAUUUCCCCCUGUUGGUGCUUGUAGCUCCAUGCCAAAUACAUUAAUGAUGAGACAAAUCUUGUAACAAUCCUCUCUCAAGACAGCACCAGAUGGAAAGCUGGGUACCCUAUCACGUCAUUUCAAGAUUUCCAUAUGGAAAACUGGUUUCCAGAACACAUAUGAGAACACCAGAAAGUCAGGCAUACAAGAAAUUCAUCCAUGGAUAACAUAUUACUUAGAACAGAGCUUCUUGAGAGGAGUCUGCUUGCAAGACUUUCCAGUUAGAUUCAGAAUUUAAAGUGAACGGAAAAAUAUGCACGACCUUUGCUUUUUAGUAGUUAAAAAAUGAAGAAGGUACUUCACACCCUAAGUACAUUUCCUCUUCAACUCCACAGGAAAUAAGUCUGCUUAUAGAAGAGCUCUUGUGAGUCGAGUGUAGAUGCACUUUAUUUUAAAGUUGUUUAUCUUCCUUUUUCAAAGACCUGGACUAACAGCUGUGAAGUGCUAUGAAUGAACAUCCUCUAGUCCUCUUAAGGCAAUGUAAAGAUCGAAUUAACUAGUGAUAAAUAUUUUUAAAUGAAAAAACAAACAAGCAAACAGAAAAACAGAACCAAACCAAACCAAAAAC